CCUACGGGAGGCAGCAGUAGGGAAUCUUCCACAAUGGGCGAAAGCCUGAUGGAGCAACGCCGCGUGGGUGAAGAAGGUCUUCGGAUCGUAAAACCCUGUUGUUAGAAAAGAAAGUGCGUGCGAGUAACUGUUCACGUUUCGACGGUAUCUAACCAGAAAGCCACGGCUAACUACGUGCCAGCAGCCGCGGUAAUACGUAGGUGGCAAGCGUUAUCCGGAUUUAUUGGGCGUAAAGGGAACGCAGGCGGUCUUUUACGGCUGAUGUGAAAGUCGUCGGCUGAAACGGAGUAGUGCAUGGGAAACUGGGAGAAUUGAGUGCAGAAGAGGAGAGUGGAAUUCCAUGUGUAGCGGGGAAAUGCGUAGAUAUAUGGAAGAACACCAGUGGCGAAAGCGGCUCACUGGUCUGUAACUGACGCUGAGGUUCGAAAGCGUGGGUAGCAAACAGGAUUAGAUACCCUUGUAGUC
rnacentral:rRNA from 1 species